UGAAAGGAGAUGCAAUCCUUACAUUUUUACCUCUGUCAUUUUGGGGAGAGAAGAAAAAUAUUACAAAAAAAUUUAAGAUAAAUGGAUCUACAAACUUCUCUUUCAAUGAUGAAGAGAUGAAAAAGGUAAUGGAUUUUUCAGAUGGGCAUUCUGAACACAUGGAUUUGUCUAUCCCUGGGCCAAUAGAAAUUGUAGCCACAGUGACAGAAUCACUUACAGGUAUCUCGAGAAAUGCAAGUGCCAAUGUGUUUUUCAAGCAGCAUGAUUACAUCAUUGAAUUUUUUGAUUAUGCUACUGUCUUGAAGCCAUCUCUAAACUUCACAGCC